UUUUAAUUCGCAUUAUUAUUGCAUUAAAGGAAAAAUUCAAGAUUAUUGAUAUUAAUCAUUUCGUCUGAUUCUGAGAGAAUAGUAAUGAGUUGAUAAUUGUAAUAAUGAAACAGGAUUGUAAUACGGUAUGCGUCAAGUGCAUCGAAAACGUCAGAACUAGGAACGUGCAUGCCGCGUGAAUCGACACACGCCAGUGAACCCGAAGAAAAGACUGACAAUGAAAGGGGGUCAGAUCUGUGGUACACGCGCAAUAUGGGAUAAUUUUGCACUGUUUACUCUUUAAUUUCCUAUUGUUCGUUUAAAUGAGAAAUUAAAAACGUAUUCGAUAAAACGUUCGUGAAAACUCGAAUGUUAUUUCGCAUAAUUUCGGGGAGAAGAAAUGGAAUAUUUGUAAAUGGAUUAAUUUAACCAAAUAUUUCGUGUACGAUUAAUUAUAAUUCAAUAUCAUAAUCAAGGUUUUCCAUUAUUUCUGCGACACGUUUUUUAAAAUCUUUGCAAUCGAAAUGUAAGAUAAACCACAGGAUCGCAUUGACACAUAUGCGGCUUUUCAGUAAAAAACUCGCUUAUAGCAAAAAUUUCUACGUUGCACAAUAUCAUUGAUAUAAAGUGAUAAGAUAAGUUAAAUUUAAUUUAAAUUUAAUAAUUUAAAUUUAAUAAUACACACACAAAUUUCAUGUAUACACUGUUUUAAUUCUAAGAUAGAUUUGAGAUAAGAAUAGAAUACUUUAAAAAAAAAAAAAAGUUAUAAAUAGUUGGGUUAAAAAAAUUCUGAGCAACCUUUGAAAUAUUUAAUCCAGUUUCAUUUCACUAGAGUGAAAAAAAUUAAUCUCGUAAAUAAUCUGCAUGAUUAAUAUAGUAAUGUUUUUUAUGUGUUCACAGCUUCCUGCAACAAACAUGCCUAAGGCAGAUAAAAUCCUUGUAGAGUGGGUGGAGCAGAAAUUGACAGGAAGUUGUUUAGUCGUCGUCGUCGUUCCAAGUCGAUGUUUAUCGAUCUUUCUUUGAUAGCGUGAGUGACGAUAAAAUUAAUUAUAUUCCUCGAAACAAAAGCGGAAUACAACGGUUGCAAAGAUAAUUUGAUGCGGAUAUGGGUUAAGAUGUAAGACAAUGGAGAUAUGUUAAAUUUUUUUUCACGUCGUAUGUCUUUCUUCUGCGUGGAAAAUUUUGUUUCAGGUAUAAAGAGGGUGAAUCAUUAAGUUUUACCAGGAUUGUGUAAUAAUCUAUUUUUAAAAUUCAUUAAUUUCAUUAAUUUAUUCUUGGAGAUCAUAUCUUUGUGAUUUUUGCCAAUUGUUCUUAUUUUAUUUCAUUUUAGAUAACUUGCGGAUAUGGGUUAAGGUAUAAAGUUCGAGAUAAAGUGCAUAUAUUCAUACAAACAAAUCGAAUGUGCCAACGCAGAAAUUACGAUCAAACGGAUAAUUAUACGAUUCGUAUGAAAACGAUUAUUGUGACAUUUUGCACAGAGUUUGAAAGAAAAAAAGAAAAAAGA